GACGAACGCUGGCGGCGUGCUUAACACAUGCAAGUCGAACGAAGAGCGAUGGAAGCUUGCUUCUAUCAAUCUUAGUGGCGAACGGGUGAGUAACGCGUAAUCAACCUGCCCUUCAGAGGGGGACAACAGUUGGAAACGACUGCUAAUACCGCAUACGAUCUGACCUCGGCAUCGAGGAUAGAUGAAAGGUGGCCUCUAUUUAUAAGCUAUCACUGAAGGAGGGGAUUGCGUCUGAUAAGCUAGUGGGAGGGGUAACGGCCCACCAAGGCGAUGAUCAGUAGCCGGUCUGAGAGGAUGAACGGCCACAUUGGGAGUGAGACACGGCCCAGACUCUACGGGAGGCAGCAGUGGGGAAUCUUCCGCAAUGGACGAAAGUCGGACGGAGCAACGCCGCGUGAGUGAUGACGGCCUUCGGGUUGUAAAGCUUUGUUAAUCGGGACGAA
rnacentral:rRNA from 1 species